GAUGAACGCUGGCGGCGUGCCUAAUACAUGCAAGUCGAGCGAACAGACGAGGAGCUUGCUCCUCUGACGUUAGCGGCGGACGGGUGAGUAACACGUGGAUAACCUACCUAUAAGACUGGGAUAACUUCGGGAAACCGGAGCUAAUACCGGAUAAUAUAUUGUACCGCAUGGUUCAAUAGUGAAAGACGGUUUUGCUGUCACUUAUAGAUGGAUCCGCGCCGCAUUAGCUAGUUGGUAAGGUAACGGCUUACCAAGGCAACGAUGCGUAGCCGACCUGAGAGGGUGAUCGGCCACACUGGAACUGAGACACGGUCCAGACUCCUACGGGAGGCAGCAGUAGGGAAUCUUCCGCAAUGGGCGAAAGCCUGACGGAGCAACGCCGCGUGAGUGAUGAAGGUCUUCGGAUCGUAAAACUCUGUUAUUAGGGAAGAACAAAUGUGUAAGUAACUAUGCACGUCUUGACGGUACCUAAUCGGAAAGCCACGGCUAACUACGUG
rnacentral:rRNA from 1 species